rnacentral:rRNA from 1 species
AGUGAACGCUGGCGGCAGGCCUAACACAUGCAAGUCGAACGGCAGCACCGUAAGUGCUUGCGCUUACGGGUGGCGCGCGGCGGACGGGUGAGGAUUGUAUCGGAUACUUCUUUUUCGUGGGUGCUAACGUAGGGUAAGUUAUGCUAGUACAGCAUAUGUCGCACGGGUGACAGCAGGGGUCCUUCUGACCUUUUGCGGUUGUAUCAGCCGAUGUCGGAUUAGCUAGUUGGCGGGGUAAAGGCCCACCAAGGCGACGCUCGGUAGCUGGCCUGACAGGAUGAUCAGCCACACGGGAACUGAGACACGGUCCAGACUCCUACGGGAGGCAGCAGUCGGGAAUAUUAGGCAAUGGGGGAGAGCCUGAUCCAGCCAUACGGCGUGAGUGAUGAAGGCCUUCGGGUUGUAAAGCCCUUUUGUUGGGAAAGAAAAGCAGCAGGUUAAUACGCGGCGGUACUGACGGUACCCAAAGAAUAAGCACCGGCUAACUUCGUG